rnacentral:rRNA from 1 species
GGAUGAACGCUAGCGAUAGGCUAACACAUGCAAGUCGAGGGGCAGCACGGUGUAGCAAUACACUGGUGGCGACCGGCGUACGGGUGCGUAACACGUAUGCAACCUACCCGCUAUUGGGGGAUAACCCGGCGAAAGUCGGACUAAUACCCCAUAUUAUUCUUACCGGGCAUCCGGUAGGUCUGAAAGAUUUAUCGAUUGCGGAUGGGCAUGCGGAUGAUUAGCUAGUAGGUGGGGUAACGGCUCACCUAGGCGACGAUCAUUAGGGGUUCUGAGAGGAAGGUCCCCCCACACUGGAACUGAGACACGGUCCAGACUCCUACGGGAGGCAGCAGUGAGGAAUAUUGGUCAAUGGGCGCUAGCCUGAACCAGCCAAGUCGCGUGAAGGAUGAACCAGAUCUAUGGUUUAUAAACUUCUUUUGCAGGGGAGUAAAGUGCGACACGUGUGUUGUAUUGCAAGUACCCUGCGAAUAAGCAUCGGCUAACUCCGUGCCAGCCGCCGC